rnacentral:rRNA from 1 species
AUACGGAGGGUGCGAGCGUUGUUCGGAAUUACUGGGCUUAAAGCGCGUGUAGGCGGAGUAUCAGGUGUCGUGUGAAAGCCCCGGGCUCAACCCGGGAACGGCUCGGCAAACCGGUACUCUUGAGGCGAGUAGAGGUGAGUGGAACAACUGGUGGAGCGGUGAAAUGCGUAGAUAUCAGUUGGAACGCCGGAGGCGAAAGCGACUCACUGGGCUUGACCUGACGCUGAGACGCGAAAGCGUGGGUAGCAAACAGGAUUAGAAACCCCUGUAGUCC